CAGAGAGUGCAAACGUUGUUCGGAAUUACUGGGCUUGAAGCGCACGUAGGCGGCAUCGUAAGUGUCGGGUGAAAUCCCACGGCUCACCCGUGGAACUGCCCGGCAUACUGCGAUGCUAGAGUGUGGUAGGGGAGAGCGGAACUCCUGGUGGAGCGGUGAAAUGCGUAGAUAUCAGGAGGAACACCGGUGGCGAAGGCGGCUCUCUGGUCCACAACUGACGCUGAGGUGCGAAAGCUAGGGGAGCAAACGGGAUUAGAUACCCCGGUAGUCCUAGCUGUAAACGAUGGGCACUAGCUUGGGGUCUCCCUGUGUGAUCCCAGGUGAAGCAAAAGUGAUAAGUGCCCCGCCUGGGGAGUAUGGUCGCAAGGCUG
rnacentral:rRNA from 1 species